rnacentral:tRNA from 1 species
ACCUGGGUGGCUCAGUCAGUUAAGCAUCUGACUUUGGCUCAGGUCAUGAUCUCAUGGCUUGUGAGUUCGAGUCCCGCCUGGGGUG